GUACAAAGGAUGAAAAUUUUUCUUGUCAGAAUGUCUGUGAUGUCAUUCAAAGGAACCACUGAUGGC
rnacentral:snoRNA from 1 species